AGCUCAGUUGGUUAGAGCACCACCUUGACAUGGUGGGGGUCGGUGGUUCGUAUGCGUUA
rnacentral:tRNA from 1 species